rnacentral:rRNA from 1 species
UACAGAGGGUGCGAGCGUUGUCCGGAAUCACUGGGCGUAAAGGGCGCGUAGGCGGCGCGGUAAGCGUGCGGUGAAAGCCCGGGGCUUAACCCCGGAAUUGCACCUCAAACUACAUGGCUAGAGCAUUGGAGAGGGUAGCAGAAUUCAUGGUGUAGCAGUGAAAUGCGUAGAUAUCAAUGAGGAAUACCAGGAGGCGAAGGCGGCUACCUGGACAAUUGCUGACGCUCAGGCACGAAGCGUG